AAUGAACGCUGGCGGCGCGCCUAAUACAUGCAAGUCGAGCGAGAAGACGUAGCAAUACGUUUGUAAAGCGGCGAACGGGUGAGGAAUACAUGGGUAACCUACCCUCGAGUGGGGAAUAACUAGCCGAAAGGUUAGCUAAUACCGCGUACGCUUCUUGGACUUCGGUUCAGGGAGGAAAGCGAUGCCGAGGGUAUCGCGCUCUUGGAUGGGCUCAUGUCCUAUCAGCUUGUUGGGAGGUAACGGCUCACCAAGGCUUCGACGGGUAGCUGGUCUGAGAGGACGAUCAGCCACACUGGCACUGCGACACGGGCCAGACUCCUACGGGAGGCAGCAGUAAGGAAUAUUGGACAAUGGGGGCAACCCUGAUCCAGCCAUGCCGCGUGAGUGAAGAAGGCCU
rnacentral:rRNA from 1 species